rnacentral:rRNA from 1 species
GGACGACAGCUGGCGGCAUGCCUAACACAUGCAAGUCGAACGCUAUUUAUAGAGUGGCGCACGGGUGAGUAACGCGUGGGAACCUGCCUUUUUCUGCGGGAUAACGGUUGGAAACGACCGCUAAUACCGCAUACGCCCUACGGGGGAAAGGUCCGCCGGAGAAAGAGGGGCCCGCGUCUGAUUAGCUAGUUGGUGGGGUAACGGCCUACCAAGGCAACGAUCAGUAGCUGGUCUGAGAGGAUGAUCAGCCACACUGGGACUGAGACACGGCCCAGACUCCUACGGGAGGCAGCAGUGGGGAAUAUUGGACAAUGGGGGCAACCCUGAUCCAGCAAUGCCGCGUGUGUGAUGAAGGCCUUAGGGUUGUAAAGCACUUUCACUGGUGAAGAUGAUGACGGUAACCAGAGAAGAAGCCCCGGCUAACUUCGUGCCAGCAGCCGCGGUAAUACGAAGGGGGCGAGCGUUGUUCGGAAUUACUGGGCGUAAAGGGCGCGUAGGCGGUCUUUUAAGUUAGGCGUGAAAUCCCCGGGCUCAACCCGGGAACUGCGCUUAAGACUGGAGGACUAGAAAACGGAAGAGGGUAGUGGAAUUCCCAGUGUAGAGGUGAAAUUCCUAGAUAUUGGGAAGAACACCAAUGGCGAAAGCGGCUACCUGGUCCGAUUUUGACCCUGAGGCGCGAAAGCCGUGGGGAGGCAA